rnacentral:rRNA from 1 species
GACGAACGCUGGCGGCGUGCUUAACACAUGCAAGUCGAGCGGUAAGGCCUUUCGGGGUACCCGCGCGGCGAACGGGUGAGUAACACGUGGGCGAUCUGCCCUGCACUUCGGGAUAAGCCUGGGACACUGGGUCUAAUACCGGAUAUGACCUCCUAUCGCAUGGUGGGUGGUGGAAAGAUUUAUCGGUGCAGGAUGGGCCCCCGGCCUAUCAGCUUGUUGGUGGGGUAAUGGCCUACCAAGGCGACGACGGGUAGCCAACCUGAGAGGGUGACCGGCCACACUGGGACUGAGACACGGCCCAGACGCCUACGGGAGGCAGCAGUGGAGAAUAUUGCACAAUGGGCGAAAGCCUGAUGCAGCGACGCCGCGUGAGGGAUGACGGCCUUCGGGUUGUAAACCUCUGUCAGCAGGGACGAAGCGGAAGUGACGGUACCUGCAGAAGAAGCACCGGCUAACUACGUG